GACGAACGCUGGCGGCGUGCUUAACACAUGCAAGUCGAACGCGCCUGUCCUCUGGGUUUCUGGGGGGUGGGUGAGUGGCGAACGGGUGAGUAACACGUGAGUAACCUGCCCCAUUCUUCGGGAUAACGGUCUGAAAGGGCUGCUAAUACCGGGUAUUCACUGGUCUCCGCAUGGGGUCUGGUGGAAAGGUUUUUUUCUGGUGGGGGAUGGGCUCGCGGCCUAUCAGCUUGUUGGUGGGGUGAUGGCCCACCAAGGCUUUGACGGGUAGCCGGCCUGAGAGGGUGACCGGUCACAUUGGGACUGAGAUACGGCCCAGACUCCUACGGGAGGCAGCAGUGGGGAAUAUUGCACAAUGGGCGCAAGCCUGAUGCAGCGACGCCGCGUGAGGGAUGGAGGCCUUCGGGUUGUGAACCUCUUUCGCCCGUGGUCAAGCCGCGACGUGGGUCGUGGUGAGGGUAGUGGGUAAAGAAGCGCCGGCUAACUACGUG
rnacentral:rRNA from 1 species